rnacentral:rRNA from 1 species
GACGAACGCUGGCGGCGUGCCUAAUACAUGCAAGUAGAACGCAGUUGCGAACGGGUGAGUAACACGUAGGUAACUGCCUCAGAGCAGGGGAUAACUAUUGGCAACGAUAGCUAAUACCGCAUACUGUGAGAUGGACCUGCGUUGUAUUAGCUAGUUGGUGAGGUAAAGGCACACCAAGGCGACGGUACAUAGCCGGCCUGAGAGGGUGAUCGGCCACAACGGGACUGGGAAACGGCCCAGACUCCUACGGGAGGGAGCAGUAGGGAAUCGUCGGAAAUGGACGGAAGUCUGACCGAGAAACGCCGCGUGAGUGAAGAAGGUUUUCGGAUCGUAAAGCUCUGUUGUGAGAGAAGCGGUAACUAAACAGAAAGGGCCGGCUAACUACGUGCCAGCAGCCGCGGUAAUUC